CCUACGGGAGGCAGCAGUCGAGAAUCAUUCACAAUGGGGGAAACCCUGAUGGUGCGACGCCGCGUGGGGGAAUGAAGGUCUUCGGAUUGUAAACCCCUGUCAUGUGGGAGCAAAUUAAAAAGAUAGUACCACAAGAGGAAGAGACGGCUAACUCUGUGCCAGCAGCCGCGGUAAUCCAGAGGUCUCAAGCGUUGUUCGGAAUCACUGGGCGUAAAGCGUGCGUAGGCUGUUUCGUAGUUCGUGUGUGAAAGGCGCGGGCUCAACCCGCGGACGGCACAUGAUACUGCGAGACUAGAGUAAUGGAGGGGGAACCGGAAUUCUCGGUGUAGCAGUGAAAGGCGGAGAUAUCGAGAGGAACACUCGUGGCGAAGGCGGGUUCCUGGACAUUAACUGACGCGGAGGCACGAAGGCCAGGGGAGCGAAAGGGAUUAGAUACCCGGGUAGUC
rnacentral:rRNA from 1 species